GAUUUCUGGAUGACUGUGCUAGCCCGCUUCUUUACGGGAGUGUGCGCCGGUACAAGUCGUUCAUCUUUCUAGGGAGCCUGGUCUACUCUUCACUGGGCGGGCCAGAGCGAUCUAGAUCUUUUACUUUGAAAAAAUUAGAGUGUUUAAAGCAGGCGUGUGCUAUGAAUACAUUAGCAUGGAAUAAUGAUUUAGGACUUUAGUCUUAUUUUGUUGGUUUCCAGGACUGAAGUAAUGAUUGAUAGGGAUAGUUGGGGGUGCUAGUAUUCAGCGGCCAGAGGUGAAAUUCUUGGAUUCGCUGAAGACUAACUUAUGCGAAAGCAUU
rnacentral:rRNA from 1 species